rnacentral:rRNA from 1 species
GACGAACGCUGGCGGCGUGCUUAACACAUGCAAGUCGAACGGAAAGGCCCUGCUUGCAGGGUACUCGAGUGGCGAACGGGUGAGUAACACGUGGGUGAUCUGCCCUGCACUUCGGGAUAAGCCUGGUAAACUGGGUCUAAUACCGGAUAGGAGCCAUUUUUAGUGUGAUGGUUGGAAAGUUUUUUCGGUGUAGGAUGAGCUCGCGGCCUAUCUGCUCGUUGGUGGGGUAAUGGCCUACCAAGGCGGCGACGGGUAGCCGGCCUGAGAGGGUGGACGGCGACAUUGGGACUGAGAUACGGCACAGACUCCGACGGGAGGCAGAAGUGGGGAAUAUUGCACAAUGGGCGCAAGCCUGAUGCAGAGACGCCGCGUGGGGGAUGACGGCCUUCGGGUUGUAAACUCAUUUCGCUAGGGACGAAGCUUUUUGUGACGGUACCUAGAUAAGAAGCACCGGCUAACUACGUG